rnacentral:rRNA from 1 species
UACGGGGGGAGCAAGCGUUGUUCGGAUUUACUGGGCGUAAAGGGCGCGUAGGCGGUCAGCACAAGUCAAUUGUGAAAUCUCCGAGCUUAACUCGGAAAGGUCAACUGAAACUGUGCGACUAGAGUGCGGAAGGGGCAACUGGAAUUCUUGGUGUAGCGGUGAAAUGCGUAGAUAUCAAGAGGAACACCUGCGGCGAAGGCGGGUUGCUGGGCCGACACUGACGCUGAAGCGCGAAAGCUAGGGGAGCGAACGGG